AUGCUUAACACAUGCAAGUCGAACGGCAGCGCAGUCGUAGCAAUACGAUGGGCGGCGAGUGGCGGACGGGUGAGGAACACAUCGGAAUCUGCCCGGUUGUGGGGGAUAACGUAGGGAAACUUACGCUAAUACCGCAUACGAUCGAGAGAUGAAAGCGGGGGACCGUAAGGCCUCGCGCAGUCGGAUGAGCCGAUGUCGGAUUAGCUAGUUGGUGGGGUAAAGGCCUACCAAGGCGACGAUCCGUAGCUGGUCUGAGAGGAUGAUCAGCCACACUGGGGCUGAGACACGGCCCAGACUCCUACGGGAGGCAGCAGUGGGGAAUAUUGGACAAUGGGGGCAACCCUGAUCCAGCAAUGCCGCGUGUGUGAAGAAGGCCUUCGGGUUGUAAAGCACUUUUAUCCGGAACGAAACGUGUUGGGUUAACAACCCGGCAAACUGACGGUACCGGAGGAAUAAGCACCGGCUAACUUCGUGCCAGCAGCCGCGGUAAUACGAAGGGUGCAAGCGUUACUCGGAAUUACUGGGCGUAAAGGGUGCGUAGGUGGUUUUUUAAGUCUGCUGUGAAAUCCCCGGGCUCAACCUGGGAAUGGCAGUGGAUACUGGAAAGCUGGAGUGCGGUAGAGGGUAGUGGAAUUCCCGGUGUAGCAGUGAAAUGCGUAGAGAUCGGAAGGAACACCAGUGG
rnacentral:rRNA from 1 species